rnacentral:rRNA from 1 species
UACGAAGGGGGCUAGCGUUGCUCGGAAUCACUGGGCGUAAAGGGUGCGUAGGCGGGUCUUUAAGUCAGGGGUGAAAUCCUGGAGCUCAACUCCAGAACUGCCUUUGAUACUGAGGAUCUUGAGUUCGGGAGAGGUGAGUGGAACUGCGAGUGUAGAGGUGAAAUUCGUAGAUAUCGGGAGGAACACCAGUGGCGAAGGCGGCGACCUGGACAGAUAUUGACGCUGAGGUGCGAAAGCGUGGGGAGCAAACAGG